CUGGAAUCGUGACUCAGUGACUGCGAGCCUGAAAAAGAAAGAAAGUGUUGGUACAGAAAAACCAAAAAAACAACAUAUUUUUCUGCGUGUGGCUCAUCUGUUCCAGUUUGAGAAGCUGGAGGGCAUCCCGGAGCUGGGCGUGAUAAUGGAGCAGGCCGAGGGCGAGUCGGAUCGAGAUGACCGAAUGUGUUUACCGCAAACUCUGGGGGACGAGCCGGACCCCGGGCCCAUCAUCCCUCUGCCGUCACCUGAUCAGCACCUGCAGCAUCAGAGACAGUUCGGGGAGAACCGCCGGGUGCUGCAGGCCCUGCGGACGCUGCUGGAGGAGUUUCGGGAGGAGCUGCGCGAGGAGGAGACGCGGCGAUGGCAACUGCAGCAGUCCUACGCCAAUGACAAAGCCGCCUGGGAGGUCAAGUGGGCGGAGAUGAAGUGCCAGGUGGCCCAGGUACAGAUGGCGUCCCAGCGCUCCCACCUUCAACGGGACGGGACACAAUCUGGUGCAUGAAAACCCGGCGGUGCCUCCAAUGGCGGGACCACAGCAAACACGUUGUUGCCUCUUCCACGGAUGAACUCGCACACAGGGGUCGAAACCUGUAAUGUCAGCUCCCCCUUUUGGGCCAGAAAGUGCCAUUUUGAAAAUCUGAUAAUAACACGAAUUAUAGCUCAAACUAAAUUAAAUUCAUAAUCUCUCCCUUCAACCAUUAAAUUGGAGGAGGGUCAUCAUCCAAGAAAAAUGCAGAUGAAUCACCUCCUUGGCACAAUGUAAUGUGGAUACACAAUUUAUUUUCUGGUGCAAACUAAUUGCUGAUUGUUCAGUGUCAAUCAAAGCAUUUCCCUUCUGAAGACAGCGCUCCCUCACGUUCCCUAAUGGGAUACUCGUAAAUACUUCUCAUACUUGGAACAAACUGUCUUCGUCUCAGAUGAUACGCGCACCUGAAAGCUGACACCAGUCAUUUUGGUACAGAAGCCGCUGUAUUUUGUUUUUUUUGGUCAAUAUCAAAAAUAUUGUCUUUUACGACAGUGACAGCCUUUAAUAUUACAAAUGUCCACAAAUUUCCCAAGUUUAAAAAAAACUCAACACACGCAAAACAGCCCACCAUCAAAUAUUAAAAAAAAGUUACAAGGGGUAGAACUGAUCACAUGUAGUACAUUGAGGCCAGUACGGGUACCAGAUUAAAAGGUUUAUUAGAUGCCCAAACAUUGCACAGCAGUUUUUAACAUUGUUGCAUUUUGACUCUCGGUUGUGGUAAUUGUGGGUUAAAAUGGUGAAAUUACCACGUUUGACGUUGAAGGUCAAGGUUCAAAUUUCUUACUC
rnacentral:lncRNA from 1 species